AGUCCUUUUACAGACACUGACACAGGCAGCAUUAUGAUGAUGUCAAAUGUGUUACUGCUGGUGAUACUGGCAAUCUUUGCUCAGGAAUCAAUGGCAGAUAUAGUCCUGACUCAGUCUCCGUCAACUCAGUCUGUUCAGCUGGGAGACACUGUUUCUAUCAGCUGUACAGUCAGUCAGAGCGUUUACACUGAUAGCGAUGGCAACUGGCUCUACUGGUACCUGCAGAAACCUGGUCAGGCUCCUAAACUUCUGAUUUAUUAUGCCACAAGACGCCAGUCUGGGAUUCCUGAUCGAUUCAGUGGGAGUGGAUCUGGGACUCAGUUUACACUGAAAAUCACUGGAGUCCAUGCUGAAGACGCAGGAGAUUAUUACUGCAAAAGUAUACAUCAGAUUGGUGGUAGCUGGCCGUUCGCACAGUGAUACAGA